GUAAGGGUAGCUCAGCUUCAGAACGCCGGUCUUGUAAACCGGAUGUCGGAGGUUAAAAUCCUCCCCCUCGCU
rnacentral:tRNA from 1 species